AACGAACGCUGGCGGCGUGCUUAACACAUGCAAGUCGUACGAGAAAUCCUGGGCAACCGGGAGAGUAAAGUGGCGCACGGGUGAGUAACGCGUGGGUAACCUACCCUUGAAUUGGGGAUAACACCGCGAAAGCGGUGCUAAUACCGAAUAAAUUUCGAUGCCUUCGGGAAUUGGAAUCAAAGAUGGCCUCUGCAUGCAAGCUAUCGUUUAAGGAUGGGCCCGCGUACCAUUAGCUAGUUGGUAGGGUAAUGGCCUACCAAGGCAACGAUGGUUAGCUGGUCUGAGAGGAUGGCCAGCCACACUGGAACUGAGACACGGUCCAGACUCCUACGGGAGGCUG
rnacentral:rRNA from 1 species